CAAAAGGGGGGGCCAAAAACCACAACGGAAGACAACAAGAAUACAAAGACCCGACACACGCACACCCACACACAGACAGACAGACACCCAAACAAACGAAGAGCAAGAGAUGGGAUGAAGAUGGGACUGCGGAGUGUGAGGACGGACAGGCUGGCAGAUACCAAUUAUAACGGAGGGGGUCACGUUUUCUGAAUCGUGCAUGCUGCAUCACCGCCCCACCCCAGCACAUACACCCACCGCUGCCCUUCACUGUGCGCCGAACAGCCGGAGUGAGAUACAGACCACCAUCUUAGAAAGCUGGCAUGAAAUGGUCGAGCUUUCACGCAGGUCUUCUGCAAAGGGGAGGAGAGGGAUGAGAUAAUGGAAUGAAAAACGAGAGAGAGAGAGAGAGAGAGAGAGAGAGAGAGAGAGAGAGAGAGAGAGAGAGAGAGAGACAGAUCACACCUUGCCCAGAUCAUCACCGCUCUCUGAGGAAGGAGACCUGGAGUUUUAGCUGGUGUCUGAUCCACUUUGAAGACCCUGCCAGUUUCUUUCAUCCAGACUUGCCUACAUUGACAGAACAGGGGAUUGGGGUGGAAGGGGGUGGGGCACAGAAUCACACUGCCCUGCACUAAGCUUUGCCCCAUGGCUUGAAUCAGUAUGACUUGGACUUGAGAUUCAGUGUGACUUUAUUCAGAAGAACUUGGGCUUGUAUAUACACUGUAAUCUGCUUCGAAUCGUCAAGGAUUUUGAGUUUGAAUCAACGUGGAUUUGGAUCCAGAAUCAUCAUCAUCAUCAUCAUCAUGCAAAGACAAUGGCUUUUCAAAGCAGGAAAUCACUGGACUGGAAAACAGGAGGAAAUGCGCCUGACUGCUUUUUGAUUUCAUCUGUAGUGAAGCAGGGUUUUGAAAUGGGAUGGCAUCUUGAAGGUCUUAAGCUGAAGGGAACACGAAGCCACCACUCUGAGGCUUGGAGCUUCAGGUUUCAGGAGACUGUAGGUUUCAGGCCACUGCGCGGCACACCAGGCAGGGAGACUUGGGGGGUUUUGAUACAGCAAACCUCAAACUAGGUCUCCCGGGGGUCUCCUGGAACCAGCUUUCAAGCUCUUGAAAAAUUGGCUUUGUGUUCCUUCAGCUUCAGGGUUUGGUUAAUCUACAAAACACUCCAAAAGAUUUUUAAAAAAUCUGAGGGCAACCAACACCCACAUGCAGCAUUAUCUACAAAUUACAAAAACAAAACAAACUUUGAUAAAUCGUAUGUUUUAAAAUGUGACAAUACUGUACUUUGCACGAAAUUAACACACGGGUAGACUUCUGGAAUUGCGCAGAAUGAAGUCCCAGAUAUAUACCCCACGCGCAUCGAAACCACGCGACUGCAUUCACGUCAUUCUCCCGUUUUAAAAUACGCAGCGACCCCCCGUAUUAUUUGGGUAGAGUGCAUCGGGUCGUAUCCGAUAGGAUAUUUCAGUAUCACCCAUAAAUAAAAAAAAAACCUUCUUGCCGAGAUUAAAGCAGAUUACGUCAGUAGUGAAGUUUACACGGAUUUAAGUAAUAUAAAGGUUUGCUUCUAGAUAAGAACUGCACUGUAUCGGACAGCUACAGGAGUGCCUGCAACACGGAAAGCAAUGCCUUAGCUGGUUUACUUUAUUUUCUAUGCAAUUAAGUAGCUAUGCAAUCAGCAGAAGUAGUUUUGUGCGGUCUGUAAGUUUUUGAACCUAUUAUGUAGCAAACAUUAGGGGUCCAGUGGUUAAAGAAAGGGUCUUGAUACCAGGAGGUUCAAAUCCCGGCUCAGCCACUGACUCCCUGUGUGUGUGUGCGUGUGUGUGUGUGUGUGUGUGUGUGAGACCCUGAGCAAGUCACUGAACCUCCUUGUGCUCCGUCCUUCGGAUGAGACGUAAAACAAACGAGGUCCUAUUGGAAGUGACUCUGCAGCAGCAGGAGCAGUUGUUGAUGAUGCAUAGUUCACCCUCCUGGUCUCUGUAAGUCGCUUUGGAUAAAAGCGUCUGCUAAAUGACUCAUUAAUAAUAAUGUUUAGAGAAUCACUUUAACAGGUCAGUUCUGCUUCACACACAAACUAAAAAUCAGACACAGCUUAAAGGCUUGUCUUUACAUUCAUUCUGCAGCUCUAUACACACACACGCACACGCACGCACACACACACACGCACGCACACACACACACACACACACGCACACACACACACACACACACAGAGAACAAUGGCACUUAACAGAUUAAGGAAUCAUCUUCAUUUGCUUAUUGAGGAAUUAGCACUUCCAGAAUACUGCACUCAAAAGCCAUCUCGUUUGGACUAUUAGAAAUCAGAGUCCAAACUGUACGCUUUAAUGUUUUCAUAGAUAGAUAGAUAGAUAGAUAGAUAGAUAGAUAGAUAGAUAGAUAGAUAGAGAUUUGUAUUAUUUCUCUGAUCACAGUUGAUGUCUUUCUAUGCAUUUAAAUGGGAGCUUUUUUUUAAACAGAAGAAAAUGUGAUUAUUUAAAAAGUAUAUUUUAUAUGUGUGUUUGUUUGUUUGUUUCUGACAGCUAUGAGCCUGAAUUUUCAGGUACAGAGCAGUGGCAAUAAAUAUUCACUCAGCCCCCUUUAUUAUUAUCGAAGGGUUUGCACUCUCUCUCUCUCUCUCUCACCCUUUGCACAGCACUGCUUUUGACAAUCUUGUAAACCACCAUAAUUGCCUUUUUAUUAUGAAAUGACCAAUAAAGUUUUUAAAAAUGUA